CUAAGAAUAUUCCGCAAUGGACGAAAGUCUGACGGAGCGACGCCGCGUGGAUGAUGAAGGCCGAAAGGUUGUAAAGUCCUUUUGCUGGGGAAGAAUAAGCGUGGGAGGGAAUGCCCGCGUGAUGACAUGAACCGGCGAAUAAGCCCCGGCUAACUACGUGCCAGCAGCCGCGGUAACACGUAGGGGGCAAGCGUUGUUCGGAAUUACUGGGCGUAAAGGGCAUGUAGGCGGCCUUGUAAGCUUGGCGUGAAAGUCCACGGCUUAACCGUGGGAUUGCGUUGAGAACUGCGAGGCUUGAGUGACGGAGAGGGAGCUAGAAUUCCUGGUGUAGGGGUGGAAUCUGUAGAUAUCAGGAAGAAUACCAAUGGCGAAGGCAAGCUCCUGGCCGAUGACUGACGCUGAGGUGCGAAAGUGUGGGGAUCAAACA
rnacentral:rRNA from 1 species